CCCUGCUCAGGUGGUUCCCCCACCACAGAAGCUCUUCCCAGCAGUGUUCUUUGGCUUCACUGUUCAGUUUGUUUGAUUCACCCACUCUCUCUCAAGUACUUGUUCUGUUAGAGAGUCUUAUACCUGCACCCCUAACCCUUAAUCCAGUAGAACUGCCUGCCUGCGCCUUGGUGGGCCUCACCAGCUUUCUCUCCCCACAGCUGCCAAGAGCCCGUCGGCCCAACUUAUGGAGCAAGUGGCUCAGCUUAAGUCCCUGAGUGACACCGUCGAGAAGCUCAAGGAUGAGGUCCUCAAGGAGACAGUAUCUCAGCGCCCUGGAGCCACAGUACCCACUGACUUUGCCACCUUCCCUUCAUCAGCCUUCCUCAGGG
rnacentral:lncRNA from 1 species